UCGGUAUCAGGUCCGUUCGCGCCCAAUAUACUUUCGCACCCUACACGUUCGCACCUCGCACGUUCGCACCCAAGGUCCGUUCGCACUCUACACGUUCGCGCCCAAUUUUAAUUCAAAUUCGAGUUGAAUAAUUGGAAAAUCAUGAUUGUUGUUUUUAAUUGCUUUCGUGUAAAUACUGAAUGUAUUUAUAGCUUGGUAUGAGUAAAAGAUUGAAGAUUUUAAAUGAAAAACACAAAAGAUAAUUGUUUUUAACAGCUUGGUCCCUUUGAUCUGAAAUAAUGAAAUAUAUACACUAUUAUAUAUUACUAUACAUGAUAAAAUUUAAUCAACACACAAAACAAAAAAAAGAAACGUAGUCAGAAUCUCACUUCAUUUUGAAACAAGUCAAUGAAACAAAAGUUAUAGCAAUACACUAACCAAAACAUGAUAAACAGUUAUUCAACACAAAAUAAAACGUUGACAGAAUCCCACUUUAUUUAGAAAGGAAUAUAAUUUUUUUUAACAAUACACUAUCCAAAACAUGAUUAAGAUUUAUUCAACAACAAAAAAAUGCUGUCUCACUUUAUUUUGAGACCAUGAAA
rnacentral:lncRNA from 1 species